ACCAGACUGAUCAGAACCCGGCCAGUUUAUUAUCUCUCUGAAAAAGUCAUGGACAGAGUCUCCUUGAGCCAGGGAAAAGCUUUUAGUCCAAAAAAGGGACUAGGUUUGUGACACCUGUUAAUCAGCAUGAACCAGACCCUUCAGGAUGAGGUACAGCAGGGAUUAGGUUCAACAAAGUGAGAAUGAAGGGAGAGAGAGGGGAUAUGGGCCA